CAGGCUCAGCCCCGCUCCCAGCCCGGCCCGGCCCCGCUUCAGGCUCGGCCCCGCUCCGGGAGCCGCUGCCCUGGGGCUGGUACAGGGCGCUGCCCUCCCGCGGCCCUGUGCCUGCCGCGUCCGGGGUUUACGGAAUAUCAGAGUGGUUUGGGUUUAAGGGAGCUUAAAUCCCAUCCCAUUCCACCCUCUGCCGUGGCAGGGACACCUUCCAUACCCCACGGUGCUCCAAGCCCCGUCCAGCCUGGCUUGGGACACUUCCAGGGUUCCAGAGGCAGCCACAGCUGCUCUGUGCCAGGGCCUCACCCUCAGAGACAAGAAUUUCUUCCCAAUAUCCAACUUAAAUCUUCCCUUUCCCAGUUUAAAGCCAUUCCUUGUGUCCUGUCCCUCCAUCCCUUGUCCCCAGUCCCUCUCCAGCUCUCCUGGAGCCCCUUCAGGCCCUGCAAGGGGCUCUGAGCUCUCCCUGGAACCUUCUCCAGGUGACCACCCCUAGCUCUCCCAGCCUGGAGCAAAGGGCUUCCAGCCCUCGGAGCAUCUUUGUGCCUGUUUUGACCCUGUUCCAACAGGUCUUUAUUGUGGAGAGAGAAGUGCAGAGGCUGGGAUACUUCCAGAGAGGCUCGAGAGGAGAAGGAAAAGGAGGAGGAAGACGAGGAGGAUGUAGGACUGAUCUGGGUUGCAGCCUUGCAGCCACAUCGUGUAAUCCUCUUCAUGGAUUAAUCAGGUACCAGAUACCGCAGCAUUUAGCUUUGUGGGCAGCCAGUGCAAUGAAAGUCACACCAGAAUUACCUCAGACUUGCUGGGACUUGUCUCCCUGGGCUCUCUAAGUCAAAAAAAGCUUCUGUGAAACUGCAAAGUGGAAAGCAUUUAUAGCUGCCUUUCUCAAUUAUUUUCAGCAAAGCAGCUGAAAUUCUGGGCAAAGCUCACCCAUGGUCUCUGAAAUUAAUGCUGAACAAUUUAAGAAGCCCAAAGGUGGGUUUAGGGAGUAGAGGAAUGCUGGAAUUUGCAGUAGCACUUGCUGCACAGAGAAUCAUUAGGGCCUGAAAGGAGGUGUGAUUUUCUAGGCGUAAAAAUUACCACAUACUCAGCGCAGGAAAUACGUCUGCAGAAGUUAGGUAGAAAAAAAUCAAAUGGAUGCCAGAUGUAGGAGUCUCUGGUGUCCAGGAUUGGUUAUUUCCCAACAGAUUCUGCUUUGGCAGCCACACAGCCCAGGCAGGUCCAGUAAAGUCUAAUGACAAUGUAGUCAGCCAGGCACUGAUCCUCUCUUUAAAAUGGAGCCUGGGCUUUGAACUUGCUCUUACAUUUAGAAAUCCCACAUGUAGUACCUGACAGAGUGGUGUGGAUUGCAUAAGAUUUUCAUUGGAACCACAGGCUCCACAGCAGGAUUCAUUAGGAUCUGUGGUGCU
rnacentral:lncRNA from 1 species